GAGUGGACUCCUACGGGAGGCAGCAGUGGGGAAUCUUCCGCAAUGGGCGAAAGCCUGACGGAGCAACGCCGCGUGAGUGAAGACGGCCUUCGGGUUGUAAAGCUCUGUUAUACGGGACGAAAAAUCUUGUGGUUAAUACCCAUAAGAAGUGACGGUACUGUAAGAGAAAGCCACGGCUAACUACGUGCCAGCAGCCGCGGUAAUACGUAGGUGGCAAGCGUUGUCCGGAAUUAUUGGGCGUAAAGGGCGCGCAGGCGGCUUCUUAAGUCUGUCUUAAAAGUGCGGGGCUUAACCCCGUGAUGGGAUGGAAACUGGGAAGCUCAGAGUAUCGGAGAGGAAAGCGGAAUUCCUAGUGUAGCGGUGAAAUGCGUAGAUAUUAGGAGGAACACCAGUGGCGAAAGCGGCUUUCUGGACGAAAACUGACGCUGAGGCGCGAAAGCCAGGGGAGCGAACGGGAUUAGAUACCCCGGUAGUCCU
rnacentral:rRNA from 1 species